rnacentral:rRNA from 1 species
UCCAGACUCCUACGGGAGGCAGCAGUAGGGAAUAUUGCUCAAUGGGGGGAACCCUGAUGCAGCGACGCCGCGUGGGUGAAGGAGUAUUUCGGUAUGUAAAGCCCUAUCAGCAGGGAAGAACAAUGACGGUACCUGACUAAGAAGCACCGGCUAAAUACGUGCCAGCAGCCGCGGUAAUACGUAUGGUGCAAGCGUUAUCCGGAUUUACUGGGUGUAAAGGGAGCGUAGACGGCCAGACAAGUCAGAAGUGAAAGCCCAGGGCUCAACCCUGGGACUGCUUUUGGAACUGCGUGGCUGGAGUGCAGGAGGGGCAGGCGGAAUUCCUGGUGUAGCGGUGAAAUGCGUAGAUAUCAGGAGGAACACCGGUGGCGAAGGCGGCCUGCUGGACUGCAACUGACGUUGAGGCCCGAAAGCGUGGGGAGCAAACAGGAUUAGAUACCCGGGUAGAU